CUCGGUACCAGGCUUCUGCUGUACGAACCAAAUCUUGGUCCGACAGCUUCCCUUUCUUCUCUGUCAGUAACUUACGCCAGCUCUCUGGCCACAAUCUGCCGCACAGAGGUACGGUAAUUCCACAUACUUUAGCAAUCUUCCUCACUUUCUUAACCAUCUCUUCUCCUUCUCUGUCUUCCACUAGAUCACAUGCUAACCAACCCUUACUGGGUUUAUCUAACUUCUG